AACGAACGCUGGCGGCAUGCCUAACACAUGCAAGUCGAACGAGAUCUUCGGGUCUAGUGGCGCACGGGUGCGUAACGCGUGGGAAUCUGCCCUUUGGUUCGGAAUAACAGUUGGAAACGACUGCUAAUACCGGAUGAUGACGAAAGUCCAAAGAUUUAUCGCCAGGGGAUGAGCCCGCGUAGGAUUAGCCAGUUGGUGUGGUAAAGGCGCACCAAGGCGACGAUCCUUAGCUGGUCUGAGAGGAUGAUCAGCCACACUGGGACUGAGACACGGCCCAGACUCCUACGGGAGGCAGCAGUGGGGAAUAUUGGACAAUGGGCGAAGGCCUGAUCCAGCAAUGCCGCGUGGGUGAUGAAGGCCUUAGGGUUGUAAAGCUCUUUUACCCGGGAUGAUAAUGACAGUACCGGGAGAAUAAGCUCCGGCUAACCCCGUGCCAGCAGCCGCAGUAA
rnacentral:rRNA from 1 species